GCCCGGAUGGUCUAGUGGUAUGUGGUCAUGUCAUAUUACACCACCAAUUUUCCCGCUAACAGUAUAAUCAGGUAUGAUUCUCGCUUUGGGUGCGAGAGGUCGCGCGUUCGACUCGCGCUUCGGGCC